GACGAACGCUGGCGGCGUGCUUAACACAUGCAAGUCGAACGGAAAGGCCCUGCUUUUGUGGGGUGCUCGAGUGGCGAACGGGUGAGUAACACGUGAGUAACCUGCCCUUGACUUUGGGAUAACUUCAGGAAACUGGGGCUAAUACCGGAUAGGAGCUCCUGCUGCAUGGUGGGGGUUGGAAAGUUUCGGCGGUUGGGGAUGGACUCGCGGCUUAUCAGCUUGUUGGUGGGGUAGUGGCUUACCAAGGCUUUGACGGGUAGCCGGCCUGAGAGGGUGACCGGCAACAUUGGGACUGAGAUACGGCCCAGACUCCUACGGGAGGCAGCAGUGGGGAAUAUUGCACAAUGGGCGGAAGCCUGAUGCAGCAACGCCGCGUGCGGGAUGACGGCCUUCGGGUUGUAAACCACUUUCGCCUGUGACGAAGCGUGAGUGACGGUAAUGGGUAAAGAAGCACCGGCUAACUACG
rnacentral:rRNA from 1 species